rnacentral:lncRNA from 1 species
AGCACGACUACGAUAGUGUGGCUUCUGACGAAGACACAGACCAGGAGCCCUUGCCCAGUGCUGGCGCCACGCGGAACAAUCGUGCCAGGGUCUGAAAACUGACCCUGCUCUUCCCUCCCGUAGUCUCCUCUGUUCCUUCUGGCCUCUCUAGACCCAGCUCCAUGUUUUUUAACUCCAUGACCUAUAGCACUGGUCAACCUCUGUCCCUGAGACUGACUGGCUUCUGUCCCUGCAGAGCAUGGACUCCUCAGAUCUGUCGGAUGGGGCUGUGACGCUGCAGGAGUACCUGGAGCUGAAGAAGGCUCUGGCUACCUCCGAGGCCAAAGUGCAGCAGCUCAUGAAAGUCAACAGCAGUCUGAGUGACGAGCUUCGGAAGCUGCAGAGGGAGAUCCACAAACUGCAGGCAGAGAACCUGCAGCUCCGGCAGCCACCAGGACCAGUGCCUGUACCCUCACUUCCCAGUGAACGGGCAGAACACACACUCAUGGGCCCUGGUGGAAGUACCCAUCGCAGGGACCGCCAGGCCUUCUCUAUGUAUGAGCCAGGCUCCGCCCUGAAGCCCUUUGGAGGUGCACCUGGGGAUGAGCUCGCCACACGGCUCCAGCCUUUCCACAGCACAGAGCUGGAAGAUGAUGCCAUCUAUUCAGUACAUGUCCCUGCUGGCCUUUACCGGAUCCGGAAGGGGGUGUCUGCCUCUUCUGUGACCUUCACUCCCUCCUCCCCACUGCUG